rnacentral:misc_RNA from 1 species
AAGUCGUAACAAGGUUUCCGUAGGUGAACCUGCGGAAGGAUCAUUUUUGUAGUUUAAUAGACUUGAGGGGUUACCCUCGAGCGUUGACUGAACACAUUCUAGCUUUUAAGCUGGGGUUGAACAUGGCAUUGUCUGACUGUAAUUAAUAUAAAAAACUUUCAACAACGGAUCUCUAGGCUCUU